rnacentral:rRNA from 1 species
GUAGAUAGGUCUGAGGUGGAAGCGUAGCGAUACGUGGAGCUGACAGAUACUAAUCGAUCGAGGACUUAACCA